CCCUAAACAAGCUAAGUGAAUGAUGGAACAAAUUGUUUUGCCAAGGGUCGACAUGAGUUAAGAAUUUAACCAGCUUACCCCACAGAUGCUUGCAGAGAAUUUGGUAAGAGUCAGUUCAAACAUUUGGACUAUUGUGUGGUACAGUUAUUCAGAUGGAAGACUCUCCUUCACUACUUAAAAAGGAAACAGAAGUGGUUCCAUUGGGUGGAGUGAAGGACUGUGCCAUAAACCUGCAUGUGAAAG